CUUGGUCAUUUAGAGGAAGUAAAAGUCGUAACAAGGUUUCCGUAGGUGAACCUGCGGAAGGAUCAUUAUCGUACAAAAUGUGUGAGGCAUGCAAGGGCUGUCGCUGACCUUUUAAUCACAAAAAGUCGUGCACGCCGGAGCGUGUCCUCUCGCAUAAAAUCCAUCUCACCCUUUUGUGCACCACCGCGUGGGCACCCUUUGCAGGAGGGCUUGCGUUUUCACAUAAAACUUGAUACAGUGUAGAAUGUUUUAUUUGCGGUCACACGCAAUCAAUACAACUUUCAACAACGGAUCUCUUGGCUCUCGCAUCGGUGAAGAACGCAGCGAAAUGCGAUUCGUAAUGUGAAUUGCAGAAUUCAGUGAAUCAUCGAAUCUUUGAACGCACCUUGCGCCCCUUGGCAUUCCGAGGGGCACACCCGUUUGAGUGUCGUGAAAUCAUCAAAACCUUCUCUUUGACCCUCUUUGGUUGGGAAAAGGAUUUUUGGACUUGGAGGUUCCAUGCUCGCCUUCACUUUUGAAAGCGAGCUCCUCUCAAAUGAAUUAGUGGGGUCCGCUUUGCUGGUCCUUGACGUGAUAAGAUGUUUCUACGUUUUGGAUUUAGCACUGUCCCUUGGAUGCCUGCUCCUAACUGUCUCACGGACAAUGAUGGUGCUCUGGUCACUGCCAUCUACAUUGGCGGGAGGCUGGACCCACAAAAGAAAACCUUGACCUCAAAUCGGGUGAGACUACCCGCUGAACUCAAGCAUAUCAAUAAGCGGAGGA
rnacentral:rRNA from 1 species